rnacentral:rRNA from 1 species
UACAGAGGUCUCAAGCGUUGUUCGGAAUUACUGGGCGUAAAGGGUGCGUAGGCGGUCCGCUAAGUUGGAUGUGAAAACUCUGGGCUUAACCCAGAGCCUGCAUUCAAAACUGACGGGCUAGAGUUCUGGAGGGGGUAGCGGAAUUCCUGGUGUAGCGGUGAAAUGCGUAGAUAUCAGGAGGAACACCGGUGGCGAAGGCGGCUACCUGGACAGAAACUGACGCUGAGGCACGAAAGCUAGGGGAGCAAACAGG